UACGUAGGUGGCAAGCGUUGUCCGGAUUUAUUGGGUUUAAAGGGUGCGUAGGCGGUUCUUUUAAGUCUGUGCUGAAAUACUCUGGCUUAACCAGAGGGGUGGCAUGGAUACUGGGGAACUUGAGUAAAGUCGAGGUAGGCGGAAUUGACGGGUGUAGCGGUGAAAUGCUUAGAUAUCGUCAAGAACACCAAAUAGUGAAGACAGUUUACUAGACUUUUACUGACGCUGAGGCACGAAAGUGUGGGGGAUCAAAACAGGG
rnacentral:rRNA from 1 species